AGGAUGAACGCUGGCGGCGUGCCUAAUACAUGCAAGUCGAGCGGCAGCGCAGGGUGCUUGCACCCUGGCGGCGAGCGGCGGACGGCUGAGUAACGCGUAGGAACGUACCCUAAAGUGAGGAAUAACUGCCCGAAAGGGUGGCUAAUGCCGCAUGUGCUCUUCGGAGUAAAGCUUCGGCGCUUUGGGAACGGCCUGCGUCCGAUUAGCUAGUUGGUAAGGUAAUGGCUUACCAAGGCUACGAUCGGUAGCUGGUCUGAGAGGAUGACCAGCCAGACUGGGACUGAGAACGGCCCAGACUCCUACGGGAGGCAGCAGUAGGGAAUUUUCCACAAUGGGCGAAAGCCUGAUGGAGCAACGCGCGUGCAGGAUGAAGGCCUCGGUCGUAAACUGCUUUCUCUGUGAAGAUUAUGACGGUAACAGAAGAAUAAGGAUCUGCUAACUACGUGCCAGCAGCCGCGGUAA
rnacentral:rRNA from 1 species